rnacentral:rRNA from 1 species
GAUGAACGCUGGCGGCGUGCCUAACACAUGCAAGUCGAGCGAACAGACGAGGAGCUUGUUCCUUUGACGUUAGCGGCGGACGGGUGAGUAAAACGUGGAUAACAUACCUAUAUUUCUGGGAGAAUUUCGGGAAACCGGAGCUAAUACCGGAUAAUAUAUUGAACCGGAUGGUUCAAUAGAGAAAGACGGCUUUGCUGUCAGUAUUAGAUGGAUCCGCGCCGCAUUAGCUAGUUGGUAAGGUAACGGCUUACCAAGGCGACGAUGCGUAGCUGACCUGAGAGGGUGAUCGGCCACACUGGAACUGAGACACGGUCCAGACUCCUACGGGAGGCAGCAGUGGGGAAUCUUCGACAAUGGGCGAAAGCCUGACGGAGCAACGCCGCGUGAGUGAUGAAGGUCUUCGGGUCGUAAAACUCUGUUGUUGGGGAGGAACAGAUGUGUAAUUAACUCUCGCCGUCUUGACGGUACCUAAUCAAAAAGCAACGGCUAACUACGUG